rfam:Omnitrophica WOR_2 bacterium RBG_13_41_10 RBG_13_scaffold_52, whole genome shotgun sequence.
UUUUCGGAGAGUUUGAUCCUGGCUCAGAGUGAACGCUGGCGGCGUGGAUUAGGCAUGCAAGUCGAGCGAUUUGUUUGGUGACUUGAGGGAGCCGCAAGGUGACCUUUGGGAGCCGAACUUAUAGCGGCAAACGGGUGAGGAACACGUGAGUAAUUUACCUCUAAGACGGGGAUAGCCUUACGAAAGUGAGGGUAAGACCCGAUGUGCCCCUUGACACAAAAGUGUUAAUGGGUAAAAACGGCCCUUAAAAGUCGUUGCUUAGAGAUGAGCUCGCGUCCUAUCAGCUAGUUGGUAGGGUAAUGGCCUACCAAGGCUUUUGACGGGUAGCUGGCCUGAGAGGGUGGUCAGCCACAUGGGGACUGAGACACUGCCCCAACUCCUACGGGAGGCUGCAGUCGAGAAUAUUUAGCAAUGGACGAAAGUCUGACUAUGCGACGCCGCGUGAGGGACGAAGGUCUUCGGAUCGUAAACCUCUUUCAAUGGGGAAGAAGUCCUUAACGUAAGUUGAGGGUUGACGGUACCUAGAGAAGAAGCCACGGCCAACUCCGUGCCAGCAGCCGCGGUAAUACGGAGGUGGCGAGCGUUACUCGGAUUCAUUGGGUGUAAAGGGCAGGUAGGUGGCUAUGUAAGUUGGAGGUGAAAUCCUUUGGCUCAACCAAAGAACUGCCUUCAGGACUGCAUAGCUUGAGGCUAGAAUAGGAGAGCGGAAUUCCCGGUGUAAGAGUGAAAUCUGUAGAUAUCGGGAGGAACGCCUGUGGUGAAAACGGCUCUCUGGUCUAGCUCUGACACUGAGCUGCGAAAGCUAGGGGAGCAAACAGGAUUAGAUACCCUGGUAGUCCUAGCCGUAAACGAUGAGCACUAGGUGUUGGGGGUUAAACUCCAGCGCCGUAAGAUAACUCGUUAAGUGCUCCACCUGGGGACUACGACCGCAAGGUUAAAACUCAAAGGAAUUGAC